AUACGUAGGGUGCGAGCGUUGUCCGGAAUUACUGGGCGUAAAGAGCUCGUAGGUGGUUUGUCGCGUCGUCUGUGACAUUCCGGGGCUUAACUCCGGGCGUGCAGGCGAUACGGGCAUAACUUGAGUACUGUAGGGGAGACUGGAAUUCCUGGUGUAGCGGUGAAAUGCGCAGAUAUCAGGAGGAACACCGGUGGCGAAGGCGGGUCUCUGGGCAGUAACUGACGCUGAGGAGCGAAAGCAUGGGUAGCGAACAGGAUUAGAUACCCUGGUAGUCCAUGCCGUAAACGGUGGGCGCUAGGUGUAGGGGUCUUCCACGACUUCUGUGCCGUAGCUAACGCAUUAAGCGCCCCGCCUGGGGAGUACGGCCGCAAGGCUAAAACUCAAAGGAAUUGGCGGGG
rnacentral:rRNA from 1 species